rnacentral:sRNA from 1 species
GUUUAAACCCGACAGCAGCGAUACCCUUUUUUGUUAUUGAUCAUUAACAUUUAAGGAUAAUCACAAAAAAGGUAAAGCAUAUGGCGGGACUGCUG